CAUAGAGAGAGAGAGAGAGGUCAUCCCUGGAUAUUAACAUGUUAUCAACAUAGAGAGAGAGAGGUCAUCCCUGGAUAUUAACAUGUUAUCAACAUAGAGAGAGAGAGAGAUCAUCCCUGGAUAUGAACAUGUUAUCAACAUAGAGAGAGGUCAUCCCUGGAUAUUAACAUGUUAUCAACAUAGAGAGAGAGAGAGGUCAUCCCUGGAUAUUAACGUGUUAUCAACAUAGAGAGAGAGAGAGAGAGAGGUCAUCCCUGGAUAUUAACAUGUUAUGAACAUAGAGAGAGAGAGGUCAUCCCUGGAUAUUAACAUGUUAUCAACAUAGAGAGAGAGAGAGAGGUCAUCCCUGGAUAUUAACAUGUUAUCAACAUAGAGAGAGAGAGAGAGAGGUCAUCCCUGGAUAUUAACAUGUUAUGAACAUAGAGAGGUCAUCCCUGGAUAUUAACAUGUUAUCAACAUAGAGAGAGAGAGAGAGGUCAUCCCUGGAUAUUAACAUGUUAUCAACAUAGAGAAAGAGAGAGGUCAUCCCUGGAUAUUAACAUGUUAUCAACAUAGAGAGAGAGAGAGAGGUCAUCCCUGGAUAUUAACAUGUUAUCAACAUAGAGAGAGAGGUCAUCCCUGGAUAUUAACAUGUUAUGAACAUAGAGAGAGGUCAUCCCUGGAUAUUAACAUGUUAUCAACAUAGAGAGAGAGGGGUCAUCCCUGGAUAUUAACAUGUUAUCAACAUAGAGAGAGAGGUCAUCCCUGGAUAUUAACAUGUUAUCAACAUAGAGAGAGAGAGGUCAUCCCUGUAGUAUUAACAUGUUAUCAACAUAGAGAGAGGUCAUCCCUGGAUAUUAACAUGUUAUCAGGUAGAAGACAGAGUAGCCUCAAGGCUCAACCUAAUCGUUGUAGAGCUCCACUCCAUUUUUCCAAAAAA